GCUGCCUCCCGCAGAAAUGGUGAGCAUCCGGAUCCAGAAGCGGAUCUCACUUGCGAUUUAGGACCAAAAGCAUUUACAUGAGUCCUGCUGCCUGCCGCCUUUGCCGUUGGGCGCGUUUGGCUUGCGGCUCACGGCCGGGCCGCCGCCGUUGCCACUCCCCCAGCUCCAGCCGUCGGAGCUCCCCGUGGCCACGUGAAACAUUCAACUUCAUCAAGGUGCUGCUCACCUGAAGCAGCCUGUGAGCAGCAGACUAAGGGAACCACAACACCAAAACCUGGCACGGAGGCUCCUCCUGCCUGCAGAGCACCCGCGCGCUAGCCRGAGAAAAGGGAGAAAACGAAGCAAAAAUCCCAGCGGCUGGAAUGCCCCACCAACUGUUCARAGGGUCCCAACAGACACCUGGGUUGGGACCAUUUCUACUGGCUGGUCCACUGAGAAGUACUGAGCACUGGACAAGGGCAGACAGCUAAGGACAGGUAUCCGCAGAAGGUGCACCAGGAAGGAGGCAGCUUCGUGCUCAGAUGUGCCAUGGGCUUCAGCUCUUCACUUAGAUGUCUACAUUCUGCUGAGAUACCUUUGAAGGACCUUUGCUGUUCUGUAGGGAGAAGGCUUGCGGCGACGUCGGCUCCCAGCCAAGCCACGUGGUCUGAGGUUGCACAAGGUGAGCGCGGUGGGAUGGCCCAGUACCGACGGCUCCGGAGGUACCUGCACGAGUGACCGGGGCCACGUCAUGCUUCCUCCGUACCCGCAGCUCUGAACAAGCAGCAGUUAUUGCAACACAUCUAUUUGGGGAAAUUUCCAAGUGCAAAAAGGCACUGAGACGGCGGGAGUGCCGUCUGGGGCAGCGCAAAAUGCAGCCUCCCUGCCGCCACAGGGCUCCCGAGAGAAACCUGCUCUGCAUCGCGUUGCAGAGGACGGGGCCCUACGGGCCACACCACAUGCAAAUAUGGGAUUUAUUGCUCUU
rnacentral:lncRNA from 1 species